rnacentral:lncRNA from 1 species
CAUUAUCCAGACCAGACCAGACCAGACUAGACGGGACCCAGACACAUCAGUGGGAUGCCUCUGAUCAUGAAGUUCCACCUGCUGGGGGAAGAGCAGAAGGUGAAAGUAAUCCGCAAAAUCCAGAUAGCCCCGUUUAGCAAUACUUUUGAAUUCGUGCAUAAAACAGUACAGGGUCUGUUCUACCUGCCUGCUGAUGAAAUCAGCCUGUUCUACAAAGAUGAAGAUGGAGACCUGGUGAUGUUCAUGACAGAGGAGGAGUGGCAGAUGGGACGUGGAUGUCAGUGGGAAGGCACCUUCUCCGUCUACGUCAGAGGUGUUUCACCUUCAGAAAUGUUCAGUGGAUAACUGCUGUCUAAGGACCGCCCCCUGAUGACAUCAUCACAGUUCCCUUCUCAGCAUGUUUCACCCUUGUUGUUGUUCUGGAUGUGCUGACAUUAUUUGUGGUUGUGCUGUUGUUUCUGAUGCCAACAUUAAACAGCGAUGCACCUCCUCCAAAUCCAGCUGAUUGAGUUUUUUUUAUUGAUAAUUGAUCAGAAUGUUUCAUGGACACAUGUUUAUAUUCAUUAAAUACAGACAGAAAUUACAUCCAUACAUUUAUAGUAAUGAGAAUAUAAUAAUAAUAAUUAUUAACUCUGCCAAGGACGGUGGAGGUGAUAUUUUUACCGGGGUUUGUUUGGCUGUUAGCAAGAUAACUCAAAAAGUUAUGGACGGAUUUGGAUGAAAUUUUCAGAAAAUGUUGACGCUGGCACAAGGAACAAAUGAUGAAACUUUGGUGGUAUUGUGAGGGGGGGGCUUUUCUAGUAUUAGGUUUGUGUUAUUUCUACUGACUGUUUCUACUGUGGGUUUCUACUGUGUGUCUCUACUGUGGGUUUCUACUCUGUGUCUCUACUGUGUGUCUCUACUGACUGUUUCUACUGUGGGUUUCUACUCUGUGUCUCUACUGUGGGUUUCUACUCUGUGUCUCUACUGUGGGUGUCUACUCUCUCUACUGUUUCUACUGUGUGUCUCUACUGACUGUUUCUACUGUGGGUUUCUACUGUGUGUCUCUACUGUGUGUCUCUACUGACUGUUUCUACUGUGGGUUUCUACUGUGUGUCUCUACUGUGUGUCUCUACUGACUGUUUCUACUGUGAGUUUCUACUCUGUGUCUCUACUGUGGGUUUCUACUCUGUGUCUCUACUGUGGGUGUCUACUCUCUCUACUGUUUCUACUGUGGGUUUGUGUUUGUUCUGUCGUUGCUGGGUGUCAGUCAGAUGGAUUAUGUUCAGGUGUGUGUUUUCAUUCCGUGUUAAACUAAUCUCCUUUGUUGGUUUUGCGUUUGUGUCAGAGUGAUGUGUUGUGGGGCGUCAACUCCUGUUUUUUCUGCUUCGUCUUGUGACUCUGACUCACGGCCAGGUCGUCGUCAGCUCACCCGAGACUCAGCUGCUGAUUGGCUGAGGGGAGUCCCUGAAUGAGUCACUGAAGGGCUGAGUUCAGAUCAGGCCUGGAAUGUAAAGUCCCAUCAGUGGAACUCAGAUCCAGCAGAAACAAAACGUCCAUGUGAUCACAAACACACCAACAAACAGCCACAGGUCCCAAGUAUCAGAGUUAAAGCGUAGAAGGGGUCUGUUUGGACGUCAAAUAAAGCUCAACAUCUGCUUUAAAACUGUGGCCUCGGUGUGUAUUCCAUCAAAACUUUUCUAAAACAGAUUUUCUCACUCAACAUGUUUAUUUACUGAAUAAACCCCGUCACACUCAUUACGUCGUUACAUAAGAGUUGGUGCAAGAACAAAUCUGAUGGAUUUUCUUUUUUUGAAUAUUUUUGUGGGUUUUAUUUCCUUUAAUGUUAUCAGUCCAUCACCACUUGAAACACAUCACUGAUCUGAGAACAUGUCAGUAAACGUGUCAAUUUUCUGUUUGUGUUAAUAACAGACAAAACCUGCAGGUAAAACAAUGAGGGUUGAACAACAAGAGUGGUUUGACAUGUUAUCAAACUAUUUUAACGACACGCUUUACUUUUAUACAAGGGUUUUAAGUGACAACAUGAUGACUUCAGAUUAAAUGGAUGGAAAAAAUAUAAUCUGAAAUGAGACAUUGUUUACUUUAUGUCCAGGAGUUAUUGUGUUGUUAUGUAGUGAUAAUACAGACG